CACGUAGGGACCAAGCGUUGUCCGGAUUCAUUGGGCGUAAAGAGCUCGUAGGCGGUUCGAUAAGUCGGGUGUGAAACCUCCAGGCUCAACCUGGAGACGCCACCCGAUACUGUCGUGACUAGAGUCCAGUAGGGGAGCGUGGAAUUCCUGGUGUAGCGGUGAAAUGCGCAGAUAUCAGGAGGAACACCAGUGGCGAAGGCGGCUUCUGGUCGUGACUCUGCGCUGAGGCGCGAAAGCUAGGGUAGCAAACGGG
rnacentral:rRNA from 1 species